GUGCUCGCUUUGGCAGCACAUAUACUAAAAUCGGAAUGAUACAGAGAUGAGCAUGGCCCCUGUGCAAGUAUGACACACAAAUUUGUGAAGCGUUCCAUAAUUUU